CGUUCCCGGGCCUUGUACACACCGCCCGUCACACCACGAAAGCGAGCAACACCCGAAGCCGGUGGCCUAACCCGCAAGGGAGGGAGCCGUCGAAGGUGGGCCCGUGAUUGGGGUG
rnacentral:rRNA from 1 species